CAGAACAGCUGAGCUUUUCCUUCUGUUACAACAGUAUGCUCAGAGCUACCCAAGAAAGAAGACGCGACUGUCUGACUUGGAUGAAAAGGCUUGGCAAGGGGCCUUGAAGAGGCCGCUACAGAGAGAACCUAAAAGUCACGGUCAUGAAAGGUGUAUCCGGAUAAACUUUGGAGAGCCACAGCAAGGAGAACCUGGCUGACCUUGGGAGCCUUGGAGGGCAGAAGAUGCGUGUGGAGGUUGUUACGGCACAGCACUACAGUAACAGCCAUAGGAGGAGCGGGCCUUUGGAGGAAAUGCUGAGAUCAGUCCCAAGCACUUGACCAAGGCACCGACGAAGGACAAUGUCAGCAGAAGGAGCUGUACAGCAAGAUCAUCAAAGCAAUUUUAAUGUUUGCGGCUUCUCAAUUACCAGGAAGAUAUGGAGGUAUGGAGAAGCAGUGCUGUUAAUUUGGGGAAAUUAUUAGAGGUUGCUUCACGCUAUGAUAUGGGCUUUACUUAUUCAAGUGGAGUUAUCUGUAUCUUGAUAAAAAAUGAGAAGAUCAUAGAAUUUCUGUCCAGAUCAGUGUUGUUGCUCUCUGUUGAUGAAGUCUUUGAAAAGGACCUGUCAUCCUCGCUGAUCGCACACUGUAAUGUCUUCAUGCUCCCGACCAGUUCGGGUCAGUGAUGGAAUAUAUAAGCCCUCAGGAGCCACGGAGAUGUUUGUGUUGUCUGGUGUGGUACCUGCUCUGUUCCUUGUCAGUACCUUGGCAACCAGUGAAUGAUUUCCUAGCACAUCGAGGAAGAAGAAGCCAGAGAGUUGCAUGAAGGCCAGAAGGCAUAUUUUUCUUCCCAGGAGAGGAACCUGUUAGCUGGAAGAUGUCUUUUCCCUGUUGUGGGGAGAAAUGACUACUAUUUCACCAACCCAAGGGACAAAACUGGAAUCCACAAGCAUUAUUUUCCUUAAAUAGGACUAGACUUAGUCUUGGGCUGACUGUAACUGCUGAGUCAGUCCAGGUGCAUCUGAAAAUCUCAUAGUAAUGUUCGGAAAGAGCUGACAACGGCAGGAGCAUCAUUGCCUCAGCUGGAAUUAAAGCUUCAGAACUUUUGUGGAGAUACCCUGAGGUUUCAACUAGCAAGCACCCUGGUGGCUAUAACUAGCAUUGCCUCCUUCAUCAGACAUCCGAAAGCUGCCCUGUAACCCUGUCCAUAUCCUGAAUGAUCCUGUGCCUGCUGAACUUAUGAGAAGCACAAGUUGUGGCAAUUACAAAGAAGAAAGAAAGAAAGAAAUGCAUCUGGGCUUAUAUCCAAUUGGAUUACUGUCAACCACAUCCAGCUGAGAAGGGAAAAGACAGAUGUAUUGAUGGUCACUGAAAUGAGAUGGAACAAAAGACGACAACCUGAGCAGAGAAGAAAAGUGUGUUCUGUGAGUCACCAAACACCCAAAAAGUUUGACUGUUAGCUGCCUUACCUGCUGAGAUACGAAUGGAGACAGGUCCAGCUGACUAUGUGGUGCCUAAGGGACUUCAGCCCAAGCCUACCUGUGCGAUGCUGGAUUAAAUCACUUCAGUCCAGACUAUCAAGUAUUUUGCUCCCUAAUAUCUAUUAUGAUGGCAGGAACCAGUUGGCUAGAUGCCUUUAGGAUCUGUCAGUUGUUCUUCCUUGUUCUGCUGUAAAGAUCUUCCAAAAUAAUACAUUUUCUCAGAAUGAGA